rnacentral:tRNA from 1 species
GGGGAUUUAGCUCAGUGGUAGAGCGCUUGCCUCGAAAGCGCAAGGCCCUGGGUUCAGUCCUCA